GACGAACGCUGGCGGCGUGCUUAACACAUGCAAGUCGAGCGGAAAGGCCCUUCGGGGUACUCGAGCGGCGAACGGGUGAGUAACACGUGAGUAAUCUGCCCUUGGCUUUGGGAUAACUACCGGAAACGGUGGCUAAUACCGGAUACGACAACCGUCUGCACGGGCUGGUUGUGGAAAGUUUUUUCGGCCAGGGAUGUGCUCGCGGCCUAUCAGCUUGUUGGUGGGGUAAUGGCCUACCAAGGCUUCGACGGGUAGCCGGCCUGAGAGGGUGACCGGCCACACUGGGACUGAGACACGGCCCAGACUCCUACGGGAGGCAGCAGUGGGGAAUAUUGGACAAUGGGCGGAAGCCUGAUCCAGCAACGCCGCGUGAGGGAUGACGGCCUUCGGGUUGUAAACCUCUUUCAGUACCGACGAAGUGCCGAUGAUGGUGGUGACGGUAGGUACAGAAGAAGCACCGGCCAACUACGUG
rnacentral:rRNA from 1 species